rnacentral:rRNA from 1 species
CAGUCGCCGCGGGAAUACAGAGGGUGCGAGCGUUAAUCGGAUUUACUGGGCGUAAAGCGUGCGUAGGCGGCUUUUUAAGUCGGAUGUGAAAUCCCUGAGCUUAACUUAGGAAUUGCAUUCGAUACUGGGAAGCUAGAGUAUGGGAGAGGAUGGUAGAAUUCCAGGUGUAGCGGUGAAAUGCGUAGAGAUCUGGAGGAAUACCGAUGGCGAAGGCAGCCAUCUGGCCUAAUACUGACGCUGAGGUACGAAAGCAUGGGGAGCAAACAGGAUUAGAUACCCCCGUAGUCCCUGUCUUUUAUAC